CUUCUCGAUAAAUUAAACAGGUGCUUUUGGAAAAUAUCUACUGAAUUAUCAUCCGUUGUGAUCAAAAGGAACCAAGCCAUCAACUCUCGAAUCUCAAUUACUUCAAAUCGGACACCAAUCACUUUGUUCAGCUGCACCGUCCGGACUAAACUUCACGCCUCGGUCACGCAUGAUGACUUAUUAGUGGCACUGAAUCGCAGCCGAACAGGCCAUUCAUCAAAAUCAAAGGAGCACUCUUUGAGCCAAGUUGAUCACUUAACUUUCUCAGCCCUCGUUUCCCACUUUGCGUGAAAGUGUUUUUAGGGAACUGAAGUGAUAUCUACCAGGCGUGAUUUGUUGUUUUCAUUAGUGAAAAAUACUGAACUAAACCAGUUGCCGGCGAAUCGGACUAGAAAUUGGAGUUUAUGUUUAGAUCAGAAGCAUUUACAACUAAAUAAGCCAAUACGCGAAGAUGUUCUGCAACUCCAGAAAACCAACACUUUUCGCCCAAUGCGGACUGCUACUCAUGCUCGCUACCAUAUUCCUCCAACAAGACCUAACACAGUCCAUACAUACUCAAAAGACCUUGCAGUGGCUUAACUCUCGACCACGGACUAUGGUAGGAUACUGGCCGUCUCGCGCUUUCGAUCAGUGGGAAGUCUCCGACAGCAUUGCCGAACCAGAAAACGAUUCAGGAGCAGAAGCUGCCGACGAUUAUAUGCCAGACACUUUUUUCAUUUGGCCACAAGAGGAAGCACCUCAAAAAAGGCGCGGAAAUUUGUGGACUGGAAAAUAGGUCUCGACUUUUCUCGGAAAAAGGCAAAUCUAUUCCCAAUAUCUUCAUCGAUUAUAUCACCCACUGCAUUUUUAAU